GAUGAAGAACGUAGUGAAAUGCGAUAGGUAGUGUGAAUUGCAGAUGUAACGUGAAUCAUCGAAUCUUUGAACGCAAAUUGCACUCUCUGGUAUUCCGGGGAGUAUGCCUGUUUGAGGGUCGUCAAAAUAAACAUCGAUUUUAUUGCUUAUUUUUUUAUAUAAAAAGUAAAUAUUAUCGGAUUUGAGCUUUUCUUUUAUAUAUAAUUUUUGUAUAAAGUAGCUUAAAAUUUUUUUUUGGUAUCAAAAAGCGUAUUUUAUAUAGUCAAUUCUGAUUAAAAAACGCUUGAAUUUUUGUAUACCACCAUCAUGUAAUACGUUUGACUUGUCAUUUCUAAGUUCAUUCGUAUACGAAGUUUUUUUCAAUUUUAGACCUCAAAUCAGGUAAGAAUACCCGCUGAACUUAAGCAUAUCAAUAAGCGGAGGA
rnacentral:misc_RNA from 1 species